rnacentral:rRNA from 1 species
ACGAACGCUGGCGGCGUGCUUAACACCUGCAAGUCGAACGGAAAGGCCCUUCGGGGUACUCGAGUGGCGAACGGGUGAGUAACACGUGGGUGAUCUGCCCUGCACUUUGGGAUAAGCCUGGGAAACUGGGUCUAAUACCGAAUAGGACCACGCGCUUCAUGGUGUGUGGUGGAAAGCUUUUGCGGUGUGGGAUGGGCCCGCGGCCUAUCAGCUUGUUGGUGGGGUAAUGGCCUACCAAGGCGACGACGGGUAGCCGGCCUGAGAGGGUGACCGGCCACACUGGGACUGAGAUACGGCCCAGACUCCUACGGGAGGCAGCAGUGGGGAAUAUUGCACAAUGGGCGCAAGCCUGAUGCAGCGACGCCGCGUGAGGGAUGACGGCCUUCGGGUUGUAAACCUCUUUCAAUAGGGACGAAGCGCAAGUGACGGUACCUAUAGAAGAAGCACCGGCCAACUACGUG